AUGAUUAAAAGACGUAAAAUAGCCUUGCAGCACCUGUUAUAAAAAUGACAGUGCAGCAAUAGUGUGUUGAUUUGAGGAGGCUGCGGUGCAUUAGCUGGUGCCUGCAGGCAAUCCUCGGUUGCCCAGGAAACACAGAUGGUGGAUAAAGGGGUUGCAUACAAAAGACCAUAAACCUGUAGCAGCAGCUGGAGACCGAGAGCCGCUCAUUCUCUCAGGACUGCGCAGUCCCGCUCAUUCAAAGGAGCCUCUGUUCUCAUUAAUACCUUCGUUUCAUCAUCUUUGUCCAAAGCUUCCUGCUCCACUUUGUCCUGCUCCACCACCCCACCCCCGCCGACUGAACUGCCAUCUCCUCCGUCAGUGCGCAGCUGCUGCUGGCACUCCCACAUCUGCUUGUUUCAGCUCGGCGGCCAUGAAGAGGACGCCGAGCCUCGGCUCACGGUGAAAGGCUGGAGACACGGUCCGAGCAGCGACCUCCUUUAUGUGGUGAAGGCAGAUAAACUGCGCCAACACAGCGGGUAUGCACAUGUUGAACAGCUUUCGCCCAGGAUGGAGGGAUAAGCGGAAGAAAAGGAGGAAGCCACGAUCUCUUCGCACCCUUUCAUGCUGGGGGACAGGUGGAACCUGAAGAUCUAUGGGUUGACUGAACACCCCUCGUGUUUUACACUCUGACCAGCGUUGUACGGGCUGGACUCGUCCCCAGAGCUGCUGACAUGGCACCAGACAGGACUCUGGGAGGAUCCAACGACAGGGCAGUUUAUGUGUUAUCUUUGUUAAAAUUGCUGGAGCAGAUUAAUCUUCACAGAUCAGUUUCUGGUCAUUUAGUUAUCAGUGUUAUGUUUUUGCUCGCGCAUAAUGAAAAGCUCUAACGGGAAAGAACAGGAGCCAGAUCCCUUCGGGGUUCUGGAUAGGACAGUUGGGUUGCGUCCCACUUUUCUGCUGCUUUGUGUUGUGUGUCCCUUCUCCAGUUACACUGAUGAAAAAGCAGAUUUGGCCUCAACCAGAUCCCAUUGUGCCCCACCUGGCGUUCCUCCAUCUCCUUUGCUGCGCUGCCUUACAGAGCGGUACUGAAUCUGCCACUUUCAUGUGCCAGAGACUUGUGACGUGAUGCGUCUUCGAAGGAAAACCUUCAGCACUAGUGUGUCUCUCUACCAAGAGACGACGUCUGCCUCUGUUCAUCAGCCAAGAGAAAUAAGCCAUUGCUUUGCCAUCAUUAUCCGUUUAAUCAUGUGUGGCUGCUGGAAGGGACUUCAUUCAGAACCGUUUGCUGCUCUGCUAAAACUGUUUUAUAACUUAAUUCAGUCCCUCUCCUGUUUCUAUUUCUGUUGAUUAGAUGCAUAGAAACCUUCACUGUCAAUCAACUCCACCUGAGUUACAUUUUCUCGCAACUGAUCGUUUCUCCCAAGCUUUCACCUGUUUAUGUAAUGUUACCUUCUGUGUCUUUUGGUGAAAACUGGCCUCCAGUGUUUGCAGAUCCAAAUCUACGAGGGGUUUAUAUUCAAGGCCCGUAUGAACAGAAAUAUUAUGUGCUAUGUGUGAAAAUGACGGAUGUUCUCACCUUCUAAUAAUGUGUAAAUCACACAUUUCUGUUUGUUGAGAAACCUCCAGAGCUCAGUGCGAAACGAGAUAUUUUUACUGUACUAUACUGCAGUUGAACUGUAAGGUGUGUUCGUGUGUGUGUGUGUGUGUGUGUGUGUGUGUGUGUGAUGACUGCGUGAGUGUGUGCGUGCGGGAGAGUGCAUGUGUUUCUCUGCAUGCGCUCCAUCUGUGUUAGUGGCAGUACCUUUGCACGUGUGUCUCAUCAGUCCUAUAAAAUGUGUCUGUAAAGGGCCUGAAACUGCCGCUACUAUCCUUUUUAGCCACUGGAUGUACCAGAGAAAGGGAUAAAACAUUAUUUACCGAUGAUUCUUAGCAUUUGUUACAGCCUCAUAAAAAAAAUGCAAGAAAAAAAGAACUGUGCUGCUUGUGAUUUAGAUUACAAGGAUGUCAUUGGAAAUUAGUGUGGUGCAGUUUUCUCAAUGAUGCCUGCUGGCAAAAGUCAGACGGUUUCAGUGCCAGCAGCCCCAUCAUUUAACACUUAAGCAAGUUACAGCAAAUGCUAAUAAUGAUGUGUAAAUAGCCUUUUACCCACGUCUGGAUUGCACUAACAGUAUCUGACUAAUAUCUAACAGUACUAACGUCUGCUAACAGUUGAAGGAGUACUAACCCGUGUUGAGAAUGCAGACGGCUUCCAUUUCUAACCCACUAACUUCCCUUUCUGCUUUAUGCACACUUCAAGAUGCACACUUCUCUUGCAUGAUCCUGCAGUCCUUCUUUUAGAGGUGUCCAACUCGGAGAUCCUAAAGCGAGCAUGGAAAGAAGGGUUUCAGGCCCGGGGAAGGGCAACGUUGAAAACCAAACAGCUAGAAGAAAAGCAGCAGCAGCAGCUCCUGCUGCUGAGGUCGAACUCGGUUGACCACAUACUGAAGCUAAUCUGAUCCCAAGUGAUUUCAUUUGAAAAGGUAAAUUUGCAUGUUAUUUAAAAAAAAUAUAUGAAACAGUUUUCUCUCUCUGAUUCUAUUCUGUGUGGUCAACCCGGCCUUUUUGUCCCUGCAGGUAGUAACUAACUCCUAAUAGUGCUCAUACUAACAAUGUAGAGGCUGUAUCGGACCAUCUGCCACUCUUACUAACAUCUUCCUGUCAUCUGAUUGAUUUCACGUUAAUAAAGCAUGCGUUGUGGUACCAGUGGUGCUGAUUAUAAGACAGUCAACUGGCUUUCCCUUCCCCCCCCGAAAGCAUCAAUUUUCCCAAAUGUGUUUAAAGUGCUGAGUUGAGGUUUUAUCUCUUAAAAAGCAACUUAAGUGUUACUAACCAGAGGAGCUUCCAAGAGCUCUGCAAACUAACAAACUAACCUACUAAUAAACUAAUUUUCUAACCUUAACUAACUGAAAUCACUAACUGUGUUUUUAAUGUGACAGUCACCAGAGCACCUUCAAACCGAGGAGCCGCAUCGCUUACUGAAUGUAUUUAAGUGUGUUUGAACGGAUGUUUGAGAAGAAAGAGUGCGUGCUGCAGUCAAAAUCCCCAAUACUUUUUACAUAAUUGUCAUGAAAAAUAUUUUUUAAAGUUACACGUUUGCACCAAAAUUGAUUUGCGUAACCUGAGCCAUCUUCAUUUUCCCAAGUUGGCGUGCAAUUUUUCACAGGAAAGGUUGUGCCGCUCCGCCAAUCCGCGCUGUGUCUCACAAUGAGCCUGUGCUGGAAGCCGAAAGCUACCAUAACAUGGCCAGUAGGUCCACAGAAGGGCCUUUGCGACAUUGUAUGGAGGUAGUUUGUCUUGUCAGGCAGAGAAACAGGAAAAGUCAUUGAAUUUCGCUAGUCACUGAUGAUGGCUGUGCCACAAAGUGGAGUGAGUCACACUGAAAAUUUGAUAAAGUAUCCAAAGGGUAGAUACUCUGAUGGUCAGGAGGAAUCUGUAGAGGUCAGUGAAGCUCCCAUAUUUGCAAGACUGUAGUAUUCAAAAUGCUACAGCAUAAUGCUAGCUGUUUAGAUAUGAGCCUGCCACCUACAAAGCGAUGUGCAGUUAGCAUAAAACUUUCAGUUGCAGGCCGCUCCAUCAGGUGGGAAAUGACCAAAACUACAAAGCAAAAAAGAUUUGAGGCCCUAAAAUGAACAAUAACUCUGUUCUGUUUAAAAGGGGCACUAUUAUGUAAAAUCAACUUAUUUUUAACUUUACAUCAUGUUGUUCCCUCACCAAAAACAUACCUGAAGUGUUGCUUUCAUUCUUUCAUGCAUGUUGGAGAAAUCCUUGAAUCUGCCGUGGCAACCGUUCAGCUGUGUCACAUGAGCUACGUCUCAGUGAGACGCUGGUAGAAAUGUUGUUAAAGAGUUAAUGGAAGAACAUUGUUGUGAUAACGUCCUGAAGGCAGAGCGUGUGAGAGAAAGAGCUUCCGAAAGAGACAGAGGUCUAAUUUGAAAGUGUUAAAUUACAGUCAAAUUCCUUUUAAGUCAUAUUUGAUCUAUACAGCAUUUUCAUAACAACUGAAGGCAACAUAGUUAUUUGAUCAUGCUAUAAAAUGGCACUUCCCCUCUUAAGGGAUUUUGCUAUUUUUAGACAUGCUAAGUUAAAGGAAUAAUUCUGCAAUGCAUUUAAAAAAAUCCUAAUUGAGGAGGGAUUGUUUUGGCUUGCAAUGUUAUUUUUUUGUUCUUUUUGAAGACUCAGAACUUGAGGGUCUGAAGCUGACUUUAAGAGCAGCUCUGGAAAUAUGAAUGACCAUAAACAGAUAUUGAGCAGGGCUGAAAAACAACAAAGACAUUUAUUGUUUAAUGAAUGUUUUUCCUCAUAACUUAUUCAACUCAAUCCCAGUACUUGCAUCAGAAUCCUUAAAAGUUCUAGGAAGUUUUGCCUGUCUAUUGUUUUGCUACAUAGAAAAAACACACCAAGUUAUUUUUCCAAACUAACUACUAUUUUCACUAAUAAAAAUUACUGUCGCAUUAUAAUUAAUUAAAAUGUUCUGAUCUUUAUAAGAAAGAAUGCUGUCUUGACGAGAUAUUUUUCCAUAACUUUGAAAAUUAUAUCAUCACAUUCAGCAUUUUUAGUGACUUUCUUUUCUGUGUUCCUGUGACUACUUUUAGAUUCAUUGUAUCUAUAUAUAUAAAUAUAUUUAAUAAAGUUGGUAAAUGAUGGCGUUGAGGAGAGAUAAAGCUGCAGAGAACAUUGUUUCUCAUCAGCAGAUUCUCCUUUGCUGCAACAGGAGGUUGGAUUGCGUCGGAGUCUUUAAGGCAUUCUGUUCCCGUACGUCAGUAAAAACACACAUUCUCUGACAAAUGUGUUUAAUAGUUAGCUGCACUAAGUUUUCUUUGCUGUUUUGGCAAUGUAAGCAUGUUUUGUUUUGUUUUUCAGAUUAUAUUUAUCAUUCUGUAAAUCAGUGAUGAUAAAUUGUCCCACGUGCCACCAGAAUACUUUAAAAAUUCAAUAAUAUCUCAGUAGUUGUCAGAUCAGCCGGAAGAAUCAUGAAUGUAAGAAAUGUAUGAACUUUUUGUUGCUUCAUUGUUUGUUGUCUGAACUAUUCCUAUGUCAAGAGCUGGUUUUGUGUACAAAUAAAGCAUUUUUAUUGUG